rnacentral:rRNA from 1 species
UGGGGAAUAUUGGACAAUGGGCGAAAGCCUGAUCCAGCCAUGCCGCGUGUGUAAAGAAGGUCUUCGGAUUGUAAAGCACUUUAAGUUGGGAGGAAGGGCAGUAAGCGAAUACCUUGCUGUUUUGACGUUACCGACAGAAUAAGCACCGGCUAACUCUGUGCCAGCAGCCGCGGUAAUACAGAGGGUGCAAGCGUUAAUCGGAAUUACUGGGCGUAAAGCGCGCGUAGGUGGUUCGUUAAGUUGAAUGUGAAAGCCCCGGGCUCAACCUGGGAACUGCAUCCAAAACUGGCGAGCUAGAGUAGGGCAGAGGGUGGUGGAAUUUCCUGUGUAGCGGUGAAAUGCGUAGAUAUAGGAAGGAACACCAGUGGCGAAGGCGACCACCUGGGCUCAUACUGACACUGAGGUGCGAAAGCGUGGGGAGCAAACAGGA